ensembl:lncRNA
UUCCAAUCUGUUGUGGACAUCCAUUGAAAUGCAGUACAUCUGGCGCAAUGUAACAGAGUGCUUAUGGGCUGCAAUCCACUCCCAGUUAAGCGGGGUCCGGUCAGGCCUCCGUCAGCUCCAAAAUGCCCUGGGGGAUGUGAUGGACAUCCAGAACUUUCUUUCUGGUAGAAGUCAGCAAUAACUGGAGGCAAAACAUUAACACCAUUGAGAACCUGAAUGCCUGAGUUGGUGGCAGGACACUCCAUUAAUGAUAGAGCAAGCCGAGCUGUUGAAGGGCCACCACAAGCUGAUGAACCUGGAGUGCUCAUGGAAUGACUUCAUGUACGAUCAGUACAGGAUGGGCAGCAAGAACACACACAACAUGAACCUCAAUCCAACAAGAUUGUGUCCCUCCUCACCUGGGUCCUCAAUUAAAGGGAAACUUCACUGCUAGCCACUAUCUCCCUACAUCAUUUUAAGUGAUGAGAGGGUGUUCCUGACAUAAUUAUGCAGCAUAGAGGUAUUUUUGAAUUUUCGCAACGGCCUUUGUGUUACGCCGAUUGUACAAUCACACUAGCAGUGAGUAGAUAUGGUUGUCCUUGUUCAAUAGAGCCAUUGGACUUGUCUCAACGAUGUUCCUAUCUGACACAACAUUGCAGGAUAUCUAGGUUGACUCAUGUUCUCUGGCUUUUUUUAAUGUUCUUUUACAUACUAACAUAGGGACAUACUGCCCUAUUAAUUUGAGCCGAAAUACAGUGAAGAGGAGUUGAGACGGCGAGAACAAGAAUUGCGAGGCCAGCAAGCAGCGAUGGGGAGCCACGGGCAGACUUUGACCAGCGGUGCCUAUGUGGGUGCUGUCCAGCCACGCCGACAGAAGAGAAAUGUCUGUGCUGCAACUAAUUAGAUUGUGGACGGUUCAUACUGGAGAUGGUCACUGCAGACCCCAUGGAUUGUGUGUCUGAUACAGACCAUCAAAGUUUUGACGCAGAUAUGGAUAGAAGUGUGCUGGAGACAUUUUUCAGAACCUCCAAGAUCAAAUGGCGGCGGCAGCCUAGACCAGCGGGGUAACAAUACUGCUUGGUGAAAGAUUAUAUUUGGAGAUGGUUAUCGGUGUCGGAGAAGCUAGGCACAGAACACUGAAUUCCCUGAAAACAUUUCCGGCACCUACUUCAGUCCAAGUCAAGCACUGGUCUAACUGAAUGUGGAUGUUGUGUUGCCUGAAUGUUCCAGGCACAAUCCAGAAUGUUCUUCUGCUGGUGAACCUUGUCUUGUGUUGUGCAAUGGCAGCUGGUCUGGCAGAAGUUCAUGAGCUCAAUGACCUUGGACUCAUCGACUCAUAGAUUUCGGCUCUUGCCAGCCCCAUGCAGUCUUUUCCUCUUCCGAGUCAGAUGAUGUUGAGCUUGAGUUUUUUCCCGGAUUAAAGAUUUCA